UACGUAGGUGACCAGCGUUGUCCGGAUUUACUGGGCGUAAAGAGCGCGCAGGCGGUCGUUCAAGUCGAGUGUGAAAGCCCCCGGCUCAACUGGGGAGGGUCACUCGAUACUGAUCGACUUGAAGGCAGGAGAGGGAAGCGGAAUUCCCGGUGUAGUGGUGAAAUGCGUAGAUAUCGGGGAGGAACACCAGUGGCGAAGGCGGCUUCCUGGCCUGUUCUUGACGCUGAGGC
rnacentral:rRNA from 1 species